rnacentral:rRNA from 1 species
AACGAACGCUGGCGGCAGGCCUAACACAUGCAAGUCGAGCGCCCGGAUUUAUCCGGGAGCGGCGCACGGGUGAGUAACGCGUGGGAACAUGCCCUGAAGUACGGAACAACCUGGGGAAACCUUGGCUAAUACCGUAUACGCCCUGAGGGGGAAAGAUUUAUCGCUUUGGGAUUGGCCCGCGUUGGAUUAGCUGGUUGGUGGGGUAACGGCGCACCAAGGGGACGAUCCAUAACUGGUCUGAGAGGAUGACCAGUCACACUGGGACUGAUACACGGCCCAGACUCCUACGUGGGGCAGCAGUGGGGAAUAUUGGACAAUGGGCGAAAGCCUGCUCCAGCCAUGCCGCGUGAGUGAAGAAGGCCUUCGGGUUGUAAAGCUCUUUCAGCGGGGGCGAUGAUGACGGUACCCGCAGAAGAAGCCCCGGCUAACUUCGUGCCAGCCGCCGCCGUAACAC